rnacentral:sRNA from 1 species
GUGAGCCGCAUGCGGGGAGACCCGCACGUACGGUUUUUAGGGAGAUCUGGUCAAAAGAAUAAGAAACUAAAUGUCAAGUUUCUUGCAGUGGGGGAGACCCGCAC